rnacentral:rRNA from 1 species
UACGGGGGGGGCAAGCGUUGUUCGGAAUUACUGGGCGUAAAGGGCUCGUAGGUGGCCAACUAAGUCAGACGUGAAAUCCCUCGGCUUAACCGGGGAACUGCGUCUGAUACUGGACGGCUUGAGUUUGGGAGAGGGACGCGGAAUUCCAGGUGUAGCGGUGAAAUGCGUAGAUAUCUGGAGGAACACCGGUGGCGAAGGCGGCGUCCUGGACCAACACUGACACUGAGGAGCGAAAGCCAGGGGAGCAAAGCGGG